rnacentral:lncRNA from 1 species
UUUGAACAUGUGAGAACGAGUUAUUAUAUUCAACUUUCUAUAUUGAAGCAAUUAUUAUUAGAAUCUAAUUAGUAACUACUUUAUUAUGUACAAAUUCAUUCCAAGAAGAGAAAUAGGCUUGAGUUAUGGCGUCUCAAUGAUCUAGUGUACGUUAAGUACAAUAGAACAUUGGCACGUCACUAUGAUAUUUGCGAUACCAUUUAUCCUAUUAUCUUGGAAAAUAUUGAAGAUGCUAAUGAAUGGUUACUUGUUGGCCCCGAAGAUCAAGAAGAUGAACUAGUGUAUGAAGAAGGUGAUCUUAAUUGGGGUACUGUUGCUAUGGCAGCUGGAGCUGAUGAUGGUAUUGUCUAUGGUCUUAGGAGAAAGUCAAGGUCAAGGUCACUUGACAAUGGAAAAACGACAAGUUCAAGUCAGACUCGGGCCCUAGUUGAUGAAGAAUCUGAAGAGGAAGAAGAUGAG